GUCGGUGAGUGGGUUUUUCAGGUCAUGUCUGGUGGCUCCGUAGAUUACAACAGAGAACAUGGAGGCCCAGAGGGGAUGGACCCCGAUGGUGUCAUCAAGAGCAACUGGAAUGAAAUUGUUGAUAACUUUGAUGAUAUGAAUUUAAAGAGUGCCUUCUUCGAGGCAGCUAUCCUUAUGGUUUUAAGAAGUCUUCGGCUAUUCAGUAGAGGGCCGUUAUAUCCCUUGUAUUAAAGAGUCUGAUGUGAUUGCUCAAGCUCAGUCAGGUACUGACGAGACAGCCACAUUUGCUAUUUCCACCCUGCAGCAGUUGGAGACUGAGUUCAAGGAGACCCAAGCACUACUACUGGCCCCCACCAGAGGACUGGCUCAACA
rnacentral:lncRNA from 1 species